GACGAACGCUGGCGGCGUGCCUAAUACAUGCAAGUAGAACGCUGAAGAGAGGAGCUUACUCUUCUUGGAUGAGUUGCGAACGGGUGAGUAACGCGUAGGUAACCUGCCUUAUAGCGGGGGAUAACUAUUGGAAACGAUAGCUAAUACCGCAUAACAAUGGAUGACACAUGUCAUUUAUUUGAAAGGGGCAAUUGCUCCACUACAAGAUGGACCUGCGUUGUAUUAGCUAGUAGGUGAGGUAAUGGCUCACCUAGGCGACGUUACAUAGCCGACCUGAGAGGGGGAUCGGCCACACUGGGACUGAGACACGGCCCAGACUCCUACGGGAGGCAGCAGUAGGGAAUCUUCGGCAAUGGGGGCAACCCUGACCGAGCAACGCCGCGUGAGUGAAGAAGGUUUUCGGAUCGUAAAGCUCUGUUGUAAGUCAAGAACGGGUGUGAGAGUGGAAAGUUCACACUGUGACGGUAGCUUACCAGAAAGGGACGGCUAACUACGUG
rnacentral:rRNA from 1 species